rnacentral:rRNA from 1 species
AUACGGAGGAUGCAAGCGUUAUCCGGAUUUAUUGGGUUUAAAGGGUGCGUAGGCGGUUUGCUAAGCGGGAGGUGAAAUGCCGGCGCUCAACGUCGGAAGUGCCUCCCGAACUGGUGGACUGGAAUGACUCUGCCGUGGGAGGAAUGUGUAGUGUAGCGGUGAAAUGCUUAGAGAUUACACAGAACACCGAUUGCGAAGGCAUCUCACGAAGGGUUGAUUGACGCUGAGGCACGAAAGCGUGGGGAUCAAACAGGAUUAGAUACCCUGGUAGUCCACGCAGUAAACGAUGAUGGCUAACCGCUGGUUUAUUCGGAUCAGUGGCCAAGCGAAAGCGAUAAGCCAUCCACCUGGGGAGUACGACCGCAAGGUUGAAACUCAAAUGAAUUGGCGGGG